rnacentral:lncRNA from 1 species
GCCCAGGUGUAGGCAAUGCCCUGCCCCAGCCACAAAAGAGUGGGGCCUGGCAGAGCCUGCUUGCAGGAAGCUGUGGGGCUGGAGGUAGGGCUGUGCUCUGGGGGAUGGAAGCACAGGGGCUGCUUCCAGCUGUGCUCCUUUGUGGAGGGAGCACUGGUGCAGCAAGUGUUCUGUUGGCAUUGCUGGUUAGUGCCUAAACACCAAAAAGGAAGAGAGAGGAAGGGUGAUCUGAAAGAGUCUGGGAGCAAUAAGAUAAAAUGGAGUGAAGGCGAACUUCCCCAGUGUAUGCAGCUCUAAACUCUUUAAUAAGCUCCCAGGAGAACUGAUGGAUGUGCAGUCACUCCAGCGACUUAAAAUUAGACUGGAUGCAACAGGGAGCAUGCCGGGAGCCGGUGGGAUGGAAGCCUCCAGGCACCAGCGGGGUCCCAGCCCCUCACUGCCUGCUGCGGGGCAGGGUGCUCCUCACCCGCUCUGCUCUGCUCAGCCCAUGGUGAGCACGGCUCCUUGCCUGGGCCCCGCAGCUGCUGGCCACUGCUGCUCACUUUCACAAAACCUACAAGCUGUAAUUAGUUAAGGGCUACCUAAUGAGUUAUAAUGCAGGAAGCAACCACGGUGUUGUGCCAUCCUUACCCUGGUAAUGAUUUAAAAAGAAGAAAAGCAACCUUCCCCUCUCCCCUGGAGCGUGAGUAAUGUGGAAGAGCUCCUUCUCCAGAGACGCUCAAGUUGCAGCCUGCCUAUUUUAAGUAGGGUUGGAAGUUCCAGCAGCGAUGGAAGGGAGCAGGCUCGCUGUCCUGAAGUACUCUCCCACACUUUGUGGUGGGGACAGCGUGUGCCAGCCUCAAGUUAGCGGCUGUGACAGGCCGCCGUGGAGCCGCGCGCCUCAGCUCUCCCCUCGCCGAGCUGCGGAGGCGACAAGGAACGCGCACCUCCGUGUCCCUGCGUGGGUACAGAAACCUAACAAUUUGCUAAUAAAUUCAAGAAAUAAACACACAGUUAAGAAAAGCUUUCCAUUUGGAAUCAGGAAUAUGCAAAAUCCUGGUCUUCUGAUUGCAAACAAAACUGUCAAUUAUUCUGCAUAUGUCUGA